rnacentral:tRNA from 1 species
UGGCUCAGUGGGGUAGAGCAUGGUGUUUGCAACGCCAGGGUUGUGGGUUUGAUUCCUAC